GGCAAAGUUGGCAUGUGAUACCUUUUCGGAAAGCCCAAAGAGAGCCCUCCGACGAAAGAAGCAGGACAAUGGAACUUUUCCAUUGACUUUUUGUCUACCCCAAAUUUUGACCUUUAAGUACUUUUUCGGGCAUUUCCGUGAUUUGGGCUAUAUUACGGACCCAAAAUUACUUGUUCAAGCAUUGUUUUCGAAUUUUUUCAUGCAUCAAAGCUCGUUAAGACUAGAUGGGGUAUCCCUACAUAGCGGGUGGGACCCACGGCGAAUGGUUCAUCAAGUCUUCAAAAAAGAAUAUAUACGAUUGCAUUGCAUAUACUAACGGAUGCGAUCAUACCAGCACUAAUGCACCGGAUCCCAUCAGAACUCCGCAGUGAAGCGUGCUUGGGCGAGAGUAGUACUAGGAUGGGUGACCUCCCGGGAAGUCCUCGUGUUGCAUCCCUCUUUUUUUUUUAAUUUUUUUUUUUUUGGUUAAAAGUUUAUGACUCCAUAACUUGUACACUG
rnacentral:rRNA from 1 species